rnacentral:rRNA from 1 species
UACGUAGGGUGCGAGCGUUGUCCGGAAUUAUUGGGCGUAAAGAGCUCGUAGGCGGUCUGUCGCGUCGGUCGUGAAAACUUGGGGCUUAACCCUGAGCUUGCGGUCGAUACGGGCAUGACUGGAGUUCGGUAGGGGAGACUGGAAUUCCUGGUGUAGCGGUGAAAUGCGCAGAUAUCAGGAGGAACACCGAUGGCGAAGGCAGGUCUCUGGGCAUUAACUGACGCUGAGGAGCGAAAGCAUGGGGAGCGAACAGG